GAUGAACGCUAGCGACAGGCUUAACACAUGCAAGUCGAGCGACCGGCGCACGGGUGCGUAACGCGUAUGCAACUUGCCUCACAGAGGGGGAUAACGCGACGAAAGACGGACUAAUACCACGUACUGUGAGAUAGGCAUGCGUCCCAUUAGUGCGUUGGUGAGGUCACGGCUCACCAAGGCAACGCUGGGGAGGGGAAAUGAGAGGGUGAAACCCCAGAAUGGAGCUGAGACACGGACCCGACUGCGACGCGAGGCUGGAGUGAGUAACACUAGUGGAUGGGCGAGAGCAGGGCCCAGCCGAGUUGCGUGAAAGAGGACUGGCUAUGAAUUGUAUACUUCUUUUGUAGAAGAAUCGGUACCCUACGAAUAAGCAUCGGCUAACUACGUGCCAGCAGCCGCGGUAAUUC
rnacentral:rRNA from 1 species